UAAAUCUAGAUUUUGUUGUUUUUUUUUUUUUUUUGUCCUGAAAAAGGAAUUCACAGCUUGUAAAACCUGGCAACUUUUUUUUUUUUAAAUAAAGAUGAUGACUGAUUUUAUAAAAGAAAAAAAGAUAUGGAAAUAAAAGUGCUAAAUGCCAAUACUCAAGUGUCAAAAACACAAGAUUUUCCAGGAAAAUAUUAGAACCGAUAAAAAAAAAAAGCUGAGAAAGUUAUUAGGAUGGCAGUAGAGUUUGGGACACAGUCUCUUCUUACUUCGUAAAAAAUGAAAUAAAAUCACAGAGCUGAAAUCUGUAUUUUUGUUCUGGUUCUAAAGUUAAGCCAGAGUAACUUUACCCUAGCUCAAUCUUCACAGGUUUACUUUGGUUUAAAGGCAAAGUCAAGGUCAAAUUUAACACUAGUAUCUUAUUCUCCAGCUGAAAUCACAUGUACUCAAUGAAGCUUCACAAGAUUUUACUUCUAAAUCAUGAACAAAUCAAUAGUGUUGAAUGAAACUAGCUUUAAGUGAUUAGGUUUUAUGCAGCUUGGGGUUCAAAUUCUGUUUUUUUUUUUAACCUGUAGUACUGUCUUCCCAUCAGUUUUGGAAAAAAAUCACAGCCUUUUUCUCCUGGAAAUUGUUUCUGUCCCAUUAUUCCUCUUCUUUCCUCCUAGGAAUCCAAAUGCGUACGUUACAAUUUUUCAAUAUGUCUCCUAUAUCUCUCUUCUGUAUUUUCCAUCCAUGUAUGCUUUAGUCUGGGUAAUUUUUCUUGACCUGGCUUACAGGUCACUUAUCCACUCUUCAGUGGUAUUCUGUCGCUAUUAAACAUUUCCACUGAGGUCUGCAUCCUCAUUUCAGUUCCUGUAUCUUUCGUUCCAGAAUUCCGGUUUCAUUCCUUUUUAGUAAAGCCUAGUUUUCUGGUGAAAUUCUCCAUCCUGUCAUAGAUUUCUUGAAAAUACCAAUCACAUUCAUUUUAAAGAUAAGUCGAAUAUCUGGAUCACCCAUGGGUCUGUUUCUAUUAUCUAUUGCGUCUCGGUCCUGUUUCUUAAUACGUCUGGUAAUUUUUGAUAGAAUGAGAGACAUUGUAUAUGAAAAAUUUUAGAGGCUCUGGCUGAUAUUAUAUUCCUUCAAAAAGUAUUUACCCUGUAUGAAAGCAAUAGGUAAACCUAGAUAUCUCGAGGUGGGGAAGCUUCCCUCAAUCUAAUUAAGGGCUCAGCUGGCCAGAGAGAUAGUUUUACCUUUCUUGGGGGGUGGGGGGUGGUGGGGGGGUCUACUGUGGGUUCACCUUCUCCUAGGGUGUUGCCUUCUAGGCAUUCUAAGAGAAGUCUGGGAUAUUUACAAGAGUCUCUCCUGAAUUCUCGUUUUUGUCUUUUAGGCACCAUGAGAUUCUGAAAACUUCACUCUGCUUUUUAGAAGUUUUCAUUUGCUUGGCUUUUUAACUCCUUGCCUUAUGCAAUGAAGAAUGAGAAAAUAACCAAGGGGGAAAGCUUUGGAGGCCUUCCUUUCUCAGAGAGCUUGGCCCCUCAAGUCUUGGAUGUCUUAGUAGAUCUCUGAUGGCUUGAAAAAGAUUGCUGUUUUAAUUUUCUCUGGUAUUUCUAGAUAUUCUCCCUGGGACCAUGGGUCUGCUAUAAGCUACUUCAUCAGUUCCAUAUGUAGUAGUGUUGAAUAACUGUGGUUUUUGCAAAAACAAAAUCCCAGAGGCAGACAACUAUCAAAAAAUGCAACUGGGGAAAUUCAUUCUCUGUGUACUUGUACUUGGGUUUUAAAAGGAGUAAGAUAAUAUCCUUACCCUGGGGGCAUUCGCAUCCUAUAAGACCUCUUCUAAGGUAUAUUUAAUUCUAUUCGAUUCUGAUCCCCCUGUUUUGCUCAAGUUCAAGAUCACCAAUAAACCUUUCCUGAAAGACUAAGGCAUAUUGAGACCUUCUUCUCUGAAACCUCAUGCUAUUUAUUAUCAGCACCUGGCAAAGAAACACACCACAAAGCCCGAGUUAAUACACUGCCCCCUACUCCCUUUCCCACAUCAGACUUGUGUUCUUUUAAAGAGAAUAAUUAGGUUUGAUACUUAUGCUGUAGCCUGCAAAUCACCCAAUGUAUAUUUUUGGAUUUUAUUUUUAAUUAUGAUAAUUUCCUGGGCAAACUUCCAUACUUCCAGUAUCUUUUGUAGGGGAAAGAAUGGGGAGAAGGAAUUGACCCUUCUUUACAGAGUCCUGUCUGUAGAAAAGGGAAAAUUGUUGUGACUGUCUCUGGAAGUUAGUUCUUGUGUGUGCAGAAGCAAUAAUGAUUGGCCUCUCCUUUCCCAGAUCUUAGGACAGCAUUUACGAAGUGCUUCCAGUAUGCUUGGCAUUAUUCUAAGUUCAUUACAUGUAUUCGUUCUCUCAUUCAAUCUUUAGAACAGUCCUCAGAGGUUUUAUUAUGAUCCUUAUUUUGAAGAUAAAUAAAGAGAAGCAUAAAAUAGCAACAGAACAAAAACUCAACCCCACAGCUCACUUCUCUGCAAAUAUCAGCUGAGACUCUAAUUCAAGGCCUUGCCUGUGGUGGACCCUUGUCCUAGCGUGAGCCAUUCCUGGUGAUGGCCUCCAGCUGUGGUUAGUUGGUGGGGGACUGGCUAAUUAUACAUAACAAUCCUUGCCUGAGAGGUAGACUGGGUUUGCUUCUGGUUCCGUCUAACAUUUUUCUUCUUCUCAUUUUUAAUUCCUUUUACUUUGCCAACAGGCAAAUUAAAUUCAGUCACAGCAGCUACAGUGGCUUGAGAAGCUAAGGGUCUAUAUUCCCCCCCCCCGCCCAGAGUAAGAAGUCUGGAGGUAGGCAGUUAGGUUUCUGACAUGGCUCCAUAACACUCUGAGGGAUCCGGGCUCUUCCCACCUUUCUACUUCGUUAAUUAAAUAUGUAACUUUUACGCUCAUGCUUGCAAGCUGGCCGCUACCUCUUCAGCACUAUGUUUAUAUUUCAGGCAGGAGGAAGGAGAGGAAAAGAUAGAGUUAAGCCAAUUUUCUGUUCCCAUUUAGGUAGCUUUCCGAGAAGCCCCAUCCGGGGACUUUCUCCACAUCUAGCUGGCCAGGACCAUGUCACAUGGCUACCUCUACCUGUAAAGGAUUAUGGGAGAUGGGAUAUUUUAAAUGCGUACAUUGCUACACUGAAGAAAAUAAGGAUUUUUUUUUUUUUUUUUUUUAAAGAAGGAAGAAAGGGCAACAGCAAUCCAAAAUAUUAGCCAUGGUUAACAAAGUCCUAACUGGGGGCGCCUGGGUGGUGGCUCAGUCCGUUGAGCGUCCAACUUCGGCUCAGGUCAUGAUCUCGCGGUCCGUGAGUUCGAGCCCCGUGUCAGGCUGUGUGCCGACAGCUCAGAGCCUGGAGCCUGCUUCAGAUUCUGUGCCUCCCUCUCUCUCUGCCCCAACCCACUCGCAUUCUAUCUCUGUCUCUCUCAAAAAUAAAUAAACAUUAAAAAAAAAAAAAAAAAAAAAAAGAAUAAAGUCCUAAGUGAAGUUAGAGGACCAUAGGAGAGAACUUCAUCAAACAUCUGCAUGCCCAGUAGGCCAUAUUUCUUGAUGCUACAGGGGGCUUGAGCAAGGACCCCAUGCCCCCCUGGAUCAGGUCUAUGUAUCUCCCAUCUGUAAAUCAUCUCAUGCUAUACAGCUAUGAUGGUAUAGUGAGAAGAGCUCAGAAUUCAGAGGUAGGAGAUCAGGGAUCACAUCUGCUUUUGCCAAUUAUAAUCUGUGGACCUUGGGUAAGAUAUGAACAUCACAUUCUUUGUCAGUAAAAUGGGCAUAAAUGCCUGUGUCCUACCCACUUCACAGAAUAUGGAUGACCAAAAUAAUACAUGUGGAAAAGCUGUGAGAUCUACUGACCUAUGUAGCUUAUUUCUCAUGAGAUACUUAAAAAUUGGAAAUGGAGAAGUAUAAAUGGAAACCAGUUAAUUAUUUCAAUAAUCUUUUUAUAAGUCCAUCUAAAAUUAUAUAUGCAUAUAAAUGUAUGUUUCAACAUUUUGUAUGUAUAAGUGAAAUACUAAUCUAAAUAACUGUAUAAUAUUAUAGCAUAUACACACACAAAACACACACCUAUAUAGUUAUUUGCUUAGUGAAGUUUUAUGAUAACUUUGUAAUGGAAUGUGGCAGAAUUUAUGAUGUUCAAUUUUAGUACUUAAGCUUCUGGAACCUGACUGUCUAAUCUUCUCUGGUUUUUCCCAUAUAGGGGGGAAAAAAAGAGGGCUUGGAAUUAUUGGUGUAUCUCAACAUUAAAAAUGUCAUCUCUCCUGUUGGAAAUAUGGCAACUCUGUUGUGUUUUCCAAGAUAUAUGCCAGCAAUAUUUCAAAAUAUGAUUAACAGUGCCAAUACCUUGUAAAGUUGGGCACAUCUUUUCUUGUUUUGUCUUAGUGAUGCCGUCUAUCUUUGUGAAAGCUGAUAUAUUAAAUAGCUUUUUAAAAGCCUUAUUGUGGCCUUUCUCUCCCUUCGGUAUAGUAGUGUAACUUUUAUCGAUAAUAAUGGGAGCUAUGUUGGAGCAUACGGGGUGGUUAUGUGGCUCUUGCAGUUUAUGGUGAUUGACCAGCCUUGGAACCAUGGCUUGGAGUCCAGAAGCCUCAGUUAUUUAAGCUCUGGGGGAAUAGAAGGUGCUCUUUCAGCAAGCCCCCAAACUUGAAGCUUUUCUGCCUUUUUAUUUGGGCAAAAACUAGUGCACGAACACAUAAAUUAGGUGAGAUGGAAUGACAACAAAUUUCAUGUAAAAUUGUAUGAUCUCCAAAAUGUAAAAUCAGGGGCAUUUUCACCCAGAAUAUUUACCUUGGCAUUAGCCUGAAUUUUAGUUAAAAAGUACAUGAAAAGUUAUAUAAUCUUCAAUUAAACUUUAUAUACAGAUAUCAGUCUUUGAGAUUGAUACAAGGAAAUAUAUUUUUUUCAUCAAAAGAUACUAUCCAUUUUCAAAAAUCACACUUGUUUUUGAGAUGGACUAAUGUUGUAGAAAAGGAAAGUGAUGCCCACUGAAGUUACAUGAAUUAUCCACCAUCAUACAGUUAAUACUAAUCCCUGACCAUGAAUACAGAAAAGAUUAUAAUGUGGAACUUGACCAACAAACAACUAUAUACAUGCAUACUCGGGACAGAGUGAGGACUCAAUAAAUACUUUUUAAAGAAAUUCGAUACUGGGUUUUUAGUUAAUUUUUUAAAUAUAAUUUAGUUGUCAAUUUUUUAAAAAAGUACUCUUUUGAGGUAUUUUCUCACAGGCAUGAUAAACUUUUAACAUUUCCUUCAGUCAACAGAUAUUUAUUUAUUCAGCUCUUAUUAUGUGCUAAGCAUCCUGCUAAACCCUGCUUGACUAUGUGAGUUUGACUUUUUCUAGUCCUUUUUAGUAAAACAUGAAAAAUUUUGACAAUUCUGUAUCAGUUGAUCUCUGUUCUUUGCAUUUUAAAAACGCAGCAUUGGGUGUUGUAUGUAGGCAAUGAAUUGUGGGAAUCUACCCCCCCAAACCAAGAGCACACUGUAUACACUGUAUGUUCAUGCCCAAUGUGCUGCUUGACCUCACGACCCUGAGAUCAAGGCCUGAGCUGAGAUCAAGAGUUGGAAGCUCAACCAACUGAGCCACCAAGAUACCCCCUUUUUCCUUUGAUGACAAGUAUUAUCGCGGAGCCCAAACUUGAUAAAUAUAAUAGGAUAUGCAUUUGGUUAUUCUAUUUGGAGAAGUCCCACUACAUAUUUUAAAACCUGUGCUACUCCAAUGUUUACAGCAGCGCUAUUGACAACAGCCAAACUACGGAAAGAUUCCAAAUGUCCACUGACUGACAAAUGAUAAAGAAGAUGUGGUAUAUACAUACAAUGGAAAAUUACUCGGUGAUCGAAAAGAAUGAAAUCUUGCCAUUUGCUACAGCAUGGAUGGAACUAGAGUGCGUUGUGUUAAGCGAAAUAAGUCAGAGAAAGACAAAUAUCAUACGAUUUCACUCAUAGGUGGAAUAUAAGAUACAAAACAGAUGAACAUAAGGCAAGGGAAGCAAAAAUAAUAUAAAAACAGGGAAGGGGACAAACCAUAAGAGACUCUUAAAAGGAGAACAAACUGACAGUUGCCGGAGGGGUUUGGGGUGGGGGGGGAUGGGCUAAAUGGGCAAGGGGCUUUAAGGAGGACACUUGCUGGGAUGAGCACUGGGUAUUACAUGUAGGGGAUGAAUCACUGGAAUCUACUCCUGAAAUCAUUAUUGCACUAUAUGCUAACUAACUUGGAGGUAAAUUUAAAAAAUUAACACAUAUA